AGAGUUUGAUCCUGGCUCAGGAUGAACGCUAGCGGCAGGCUUAAUACAUGCAAGUCGUGGGGCAGCGCAGGUAGCAAUACUGGGCGGCGACCGGCAAACGGGUGCGGAACACGUACACAACCUUCCUUCAAGUGGGGAAUAGCCCAGAGAAAUUUGGAUUAAUACCCCGUAACAUAACGAUGUGGCAUCACAUUGUUAUUAUAGCUUCGGCGCUUGUUGAUGGGUGUGCGGCUGAUUAGAUAGUUGGCGGGGUAACGGCCCACCAAGUCUACGAUCAGUAGCUGAUGUGAGAGCAUGAUCAGCCACACGGGCACUGAGACACGGGCCCGACUCCUACGGGAGGCAGCAGUAAGGAAUAUUGGUCAAUGGACGAAAGUCUGAACCAGCCAUGCCGCGUGAAGGAUUAAGGUCCUCUGGAUUGUAAACUUCUUUUAUCUGGGACGAAAAAAGGCGAUUCUUCGUCACUUGACGGUACCAGAUGAAUAAGCACCGGCUAACUCCGUGCCAGCAGCCGCGGUAAUACGGAGGGUGCAAGCGUUAUCCGGAUUCACUGGGUUUAAAGGGUGCGU
rnacentral:rRNA from 1 species